CUCUCCAGCAGAUGGAUGUACGCUAAUGCUGAAAGCUUCCACUAGAGGGUACCAGGGCUGCGCUGGGAUCUUAGAUCGCCAAACCCGAGCAAGUCCGGACUUGUAAAUCUCUGCUUUGGGAAGCACAGAGCUCUCUCUAUUCAGUGCAGUUUGGUCUGAUGGACUCCAACGGGGGGUUCUGGCGACUGAUGCGGACCAUGCUGUAUGAUUUCCAAAUUCUGUGAGCAAAUUACUUAAACCUGCGGUGGCCCAUUUCACAGUUUGGUGAAAUGGGGAUUGCAAAAUUCGACUUCACACGGAGUGAUAGCGUUAUGUAUCCCGUGACUGUAUAGCACGGAUGACUGCGUUAUUUCCGUGCUAGAGGAAAGUUUUGAGACUUGCUGCGGACAGGGAAUGUUAGUGUUACAGUAGAUGGGCUCGCAGGAGCCUGGAGUCCCUCCAUACAGAAGUGUGGUCCUUUGCCAUUUUCUUCAGCCUUACAGUUUUGCACGCCAAUGCCGCUGGUUGUUCCGUCUUGUCCUUCAGCCACAUCUCAGCACCACAGCGCCUAAACAUGUUGCUCCUCUGUCUUUUAUCUUGGUUUUCAUGGAGAAACAGUUGAGCUUAAAGAGCUCCUACAGAGGGUGGUGCCUUUCACAGCUGAAGGCCUCUUCUUUAGCCUUUCUGGAAACUGUGAUGACAGCUACUGGUGGGAAAAAUCACUCGGGAACAGAGCCAUAGCCCUGCUUCUAGGUAACUGGCUAUCACCUGAACCGUUCCUUAGGACAGACUACUGCUGAUUCCUUGCUUUCUGCCUCUCUUGCUCAUGUGAUAAAGUGAGAGCAUUACUUUCCUUGUUUGACAUCUUCUGUUUUGGAUAGAGAAGGAUCCAUGUUUCUUUCUUUCUUUUUUUUUCCUCUUUUCCUUUUUUUCUUUUGAGACACGGUUUCACUAUGUAGCCCAGGCUGGCCUGGAACUUAUGUGUAGACCAGGCUAGCCUUCCAUUCCCAGCAACACUUUUUCUGUCCUGUCUCUGCCUCCUGAGAGCUGGGAUUAUAGAUGGACGUUGUCAUGCUCAGCUGAGAAGUUCAUUUUCUAAGAGCAGUGACUCCAAGCCAGGCCUCAUGGUGAUGGGUCUUUAAUCCCAGUAUACCCAUUUAAUCUCAAUACUUGGGAGGCAGAAGCAGGUAGAUCUCUGAAUUUGAGGCUAGUUUGGUCAAACCCUGUCUUGAGAAAGAAAAACAACAACAGCUCUCGGUUUUAGCGCCAUCUUCCUUGAGACUCCUGAGCCAUAAGAGCGAAGUGGCAGAAGAAGAUAAUGUGCAGGCUGAAGCGCAAGAGAAGAUAAGGCAGUGGUCCAAGUUAGCCAGCCGGUGCAGCCACGACGCCUGCAGGAGCAGAAGUGAGGGAUGCUGAGGGCCGGGACGCCGGGACAAGCUAUCGGACUGUGUGCUGCCAUUGGUAAUGAGUCUCAGUAGAACUGGAAUGUCACCUCGCCACGAUCGCCUGGAGAAAUGACCUCCUUUCUUAUAACCAAAACAGUCCCGCUGGCCCUCUGCCCUGGACCCCCGGCACUCUGGACUAGCUCUGUUCUCUUGUGGCUAAGUGUAGCUCGUGUACAAUAAACCCUCUUGCAGUCAGCUGAAAAAAAAAAAA